UCUCUCUGACACCCUCAAAAUCAUAAAACUAGAACCAAGCUAUUCAGGUCUUCCUUUCCCAGAGGAGCUGUGCUCUGUUCUAUAAAGAAACACAGACCAUCGGAUUUCUGUACUCAUUAAGCAUCUGAUGCUGGCCUUCUUCCCAGGAUCACCCUGAGGAAAAUUACAGAACCUAGAGGGGAAGUAUGGACAGCAGGAACUUUUAAAACGUCGAGAAUGGCCAACUGACAACUUCCAACAUUUGAAUCUACAAUUUAACAAGAUGGUGAGGCAGUCCCCUUCAAGGGGAUUGGGCUGAUUACUCAACAAGAGGAAGACAUGAGCAUGUGAACACCUGGAAUAGAGCUCCCUCGGCAGGAGAAAAGCAAGUGGAAAGGCCCAGAGGCAGGAAGAUACAGGACUGAGUGACAGGCGGACCAAGUGGCUGAGUCACAGCCAAGCAGAGACGGUGGGAGGCGUGCCUGAAGAGGCAGACAGAGGCUGAGGCUAGGAGGCCAAGGUGUAUGGACUUUGUAUGAGUUGCAGUGGGGGUUUUCAGCAGGAGAGUCAUAAGAUCUAAUAAAAGCAAAUUUUAAAAGAUU